rnacentral:lncRNA from 10 species
AUUGCAUUUCAGCAGCGCCCGCGCACAUGGACGCUCCAAUUACAGGUACUUGGGAGGGGACGCCUUUGUCCGCGGCCCAUUCACGGCGGAGCCGGCUCCGGGCGGAGAAGCUGUCGGGCGCUGUCGCACAAAGCGAUUUUGUGCCUCCUCCCGGCGCCUUCCUCCACUCCCUGCCGCGUUCAAGGACAAACAAGGACCUCCAAAUUCGUGUUCAAACGCCCCGCGUGGUAGGCAGUGUGGGGGGGUCAGAGGAGAGUCUGGAAGGAACCCAAAGGGUGAGCAGACCUAGCCAGUGAAGAACGCACAGACAUACUGACCCAGCAGCCCCCAGAAGAGAAGCCAGGGACCAGAAGCGCAGGGCACGGGAAUGUGUCAUGAUUGGCGCACAGGCUGUGGCCCCACCGCUGCCUGCCUUACUCCCCUCUGCGCGCUGACCUUCCACUCCUCCUGCACCGAGGUCCUUCUCAAACCAGAGGCUUCACACCUGUUCUUCCCUCUGGCUCAGAUUUCCCAUCCCUCUUUGCACACUUAACUGCUACCCGACCCUCAGUCUCAGCUCCAGCGUGCCUUCCUGGAAGAAGCUUCCCUGCCCACC